AAUCCGAGAAUUCAAUCGGCGGCUGUAUGUUGACUGACAAGAAUAUAAUUGCUGUUAAUCCGGCCCUGCUUCGUGUACAAAUGCAUAGUGGGGAGACAUGAACAUUUUUUGAAAUUGCGGCCCUAUCCUCUUGGGAUUCUACGUUGGACAAAUUCUGAAAACGACCCCAGAAAUAUAAUUGAGGUUCAAACCCGUGCGAGGUGAGCUUUCAUAUAUGAAACAGACCAGUCAUGGGGACACGAGAUAUGGAAAGUUUCAGCGUAGUCGUCGCCACAUUGCUGCCAACACUGCAUAUAUAAGGAAUCACGAACCAUUCAGGAAUAUUGAGACUUAGACCAGUAUCUUUUUAAGUCGGCAUGUGGGGUAAAGAAGACGCGAAAGCUUCAGUCGUGUACCA